rnacentral:misc_RNA from 1 species
AACCAGUGAAGUGGAAUCCAAUCUCUCUCCUUAUCGCCGCCGCAGGAGACUCAGUCUCACGGUUAGAGGGAGAGAGAAGGUAGUUCAAAGAAUCCCUGCUCUGUACAGAUCAAAAGAAAGCACUGAUUUUUAGCAGUCAAAACUCAAAACCCAUGUGUAAAAACAACAAAACUCGAGGAAUUACAGUAUAUGGGUGCUUGAUUGGUUGCUGGGAUUGAAGGGUUCAGAAUCAUUAAAGACUUCUGUUUUGCAGUUAAAAAAAAAAAAAAAAAAAAAAA